CUCUGUUCCCGGGUCCCUCAGGCGGCCACCCAGUGGGCACACUCCCAGGCGGCGCUCCGGCCCCGCGCUCCCUCCCUCUGCCUUUCAUUCUCAGCUGCCAACAUCCUGGAAGCUGAUUCUAAAGUGCAUCUAAGAUUGAAAACCACUGAUUCUAAUACAGCAUUGUGGAAUGAUUCGCAGCUGAUUCUAAAGUGCAUUUAACAUUGAAAACCACUGAUUCUAAUAACACAGCAUCGUGGAAUGAAUCAGG
rnacentral:sRNA from 1 species